rnacentral:ncRNA from 2 species
AGUAUGCCACAGGAGAUAAGUUCAGACAGCUGUCUGAUUAAAAGGGAACCCGAUGCGAAUUCGGGACGAUCCCGUCACUGUGAUAGCUGGUUAAAAGCAAAAUGCCACUGGAAAGAUAGUUUAUUCUGGGAAGGUGCUUUUGAUGUGUAUGCUUAAGUCAGGAAACCUGCUUAUCUUUUUAACAAAAG